GCAAAGCUCAUUUGGUAGAGCACAAGCCUUGAACGCUUGCUGUUGCGGGUUCAAACCCCGCUGCA
rnacentral:tRNA from 1 species